rnacentral:rRNA from 1 species
AACGAACGCUGGCGGCAUGCCUAACACAUGCAAGUCGAACGAGACCUUCGGGUCUAGUGGCGCACGGGUGCGUAACGCGUGGGAACCUGCCCUUAGGUUCGGAAUAACUCCCCGAAAGGGGUGCUAAUACCGGAUAAUGUCUUCGGACCAAAGAUUUAUCGCCUUUGGAUGGGCCCGCGUUGGAUUAGCUAGUUGGUAGGGUAAAAGCCUACCAAGGCGACGAUCCAUAGCUGGUCUGAGAGGAUGAUCAGCCACACUGGGACUGAGACACGGCCCAGACUCCUACGGGAAGAAGCAGUGGGGAAUAUUGGACAAUGGGCGAAAGCCUGACCCAGCAAUGCCGCGUGAGUGAUGAAGGCCUUAGGGUUGUAAAGCUCUUUUACCCGGGAUGAUAAUGACAGUACCGGGAGAAUAAGCUCCGGCUAACUCCGUG